AACUAAUUUUUUAGGCUCUCUAUACGACAUAUAAGCACUUACCAGAGAAUUAUUGUCCACUCCAUGUAAGCCGGUUCCCUCUGAAGGUCUGGUUAGGCAGGUAUCUUCGAUAUUCACUCGAAAAGUCUACUUAACGCGAUUCCUGUUACGCAGGGCUACUCAAUCCACCCACAGGAAUAUAACACACCGAAUAAAGGUCAAUAAAUCGUUGAAACGAACCGAAAUUUAUGUCCGUUAAAUUUCGUUUGACCUAUCCUACUGACUGCGCCACUAAUAUUUGGGAAUGCCGAAAAAGACUUUUUAAAAAAACUUUAUUAGAGCUAAAACAACUAGUUACAAUAAAAGCAGAAUCUAGACUGAACUAAGAAUACAAUUUAAUAAAACAUUA
rnacentral:lncRNA from 1 species